rnacentral:rRNA from 1 species
UACGUAGGGUGCAAGCGUUAAUCGGAAUUACUGGGCGUAAAGCGUGCGCAGGCGGUUAUGCAAGACAGAUGUGAAAUCCCCGGGCUCAACCUGGGAACUGCAUUUGUGACUGCAUGGCUAGAGUACGGCAGAGGGGGAUGGAAUUCCGCGUGUAGCAGUGAAAUGCGUAGAUAUGCGGAGGAACACCGAUGGCGAAGGCAAUCCCCUGGGCCUGUACUGACGCUCAUGCACGAAAGCGUGGGGAGCAAACAGG